AAAUCUACCUGGAUUGCCAGUCAGCCCGGUUGGUCCCUGGUGAACUGUAAGUCCUGUUGUCCGUUACAUCAGUGAAGUCUCCUCUGCGUGACCGACUUUCACAUCUAUUUUGACACCGUGCUGCCGGAUUGGAAUGCAGGCGGAAGGAUUGGUUACUGCUCACAUCUAUAUAAAGCAGGGAGCACACCCGGGGGCUGGCCUCCCAAAAGCACCAGCUGUUACGAUCCUUUCCAUCUUAAUACAUUUUUGCCCACAUGUAAUGGACAACUUUUUGGUAAAAAUCUUCAGGCAUCGUUGUUUGAUUUUGAUGACACUGAUUAAAAUGCAUGGGAGAAAGUGCUUUAUAAUAGACACUGCAAGAACUAAGAGCACGUGAAGAAUAGGUAAUAGCCAAAUUCUUUUUCACUUUACACAGUCACACUCAAUUUUAGACAUGAAAUGUGUUAUUUGUCAUGCUGGGUGCGACUCAUCAUGUGAACGGUUGAAUCACCGUUUUAUGUGGCUCUGGAGAAAAUUUGGAUGAUGUCUUUGUCUUGUUUUGACUACAUUUUUUUUUAACAGAAAAGCAGCUUGAUAACAGUGGCUGUAAGUGGGUUAGCACCCAGACAGUCGACUUGCAUUAUUAGCAUGGGCUGAUUACUCAAAUUCCUGAAUUCAUAUUUUUGCCCUUAAGCAGUUACAUCGAGAGACCCAAAUGAAAUCGGGGGGGAAAAGUUUGCACAUAGCAAGUAUGAAAAUUAAAAAAGUAUUUUCAGGU